rnacentral:rRNA from 1 species
UACGUAGGGUGCGAGCGUUGUCCGGAAUUAUUGGGCGUAAAGAGCUUGUAGGCGGUUUGUCGCGUCUGCCGUGAAAAUUCGAGGCUCAACCUCGAACUUGCGGUGGGUACGGGCAGACUAGAGUGUGGUAGGGGAGACUGGAAUUCCUGGUGUAGCGGUGAAAUGCGCAGAUAUCAGGAGGAACACCGAUGGCGAAGGCAGGUCUCUGGGCCGAAACUGACGCUGAGGAGCGAAAGCGUGGGGAGCAAACAGG